AACGCUAGCUACAGGCUUAACACAUGCAAGUCGAGGGGCAGCAUAAAAGUAGCAAUACUUUGGUGGCGACCGGCGCACGGGUGAGUAACGCGUAUGCAACCUACCUAUCAGAGGGGGAUAACCCGGCGAAAGUCGGACUAAUACCGCAUAAAACAGGGGCACCGCAUGGUGAUAUUUGUUAAAAAUUUAUUGCUGAUAGAUGGGCACGCGUUCCAUUAGGCAGUUGGCGGGGUAACGGCCCACCAAACCUACGAUGGAUAGGGGUUCUGAGAGGAAGGUCCCCCACAUUGGAACUGAGACACGGUCCAAACUCCUACGGGAGGCAGCAGUGAGGAAUAUUGGUCAAUGGACGAGAGUCUGAACCAGCCAAGUAGCGUGAAGGAUGACUGCCCUAUGGGUUGUAAACUUCUUUUAUACGGGAAUAAAGUGAGCCACGUGUGGCUUUUUGUAUGUACCGUAUGAAUAAGGAUCGGCUAACUCCGUGCCAGCAGCCGCGGUAAUACGGAGGAUCCGAGCGUUAUCCGGAUUUAUUGGGUUUAAAGGGAGCGUAGGCCGCAAGUCAAGCGUGUUGUGAAAUGCAGGGGCUCAACCUCUGGAUUGCAGCGCGAACUGGCAUGCUUGAGUACGCACGAGGUAGGCGGAAUUUGUGGUGUAGCGGUGAAAUGCUUAGAUAUCACGAAGAACUCCGAUUG
rnacentral:rRNA from 1 species